UACGUAGGGUGCAGGCGUUAAUCGGAAUUACUGGGCGUAAAGCGUGCGCAGGCGGUUUGCUAAGACAGGUGUGAAAUCCCCGGGCUUAACCUGGGAACUGCGCUUGUAACUGGCAAGCUGGAGUGUGGCAGAGGGGAGUGGAAUUCCACGUGUAGCAGUGAAAUGCGUAGAGAUGUGGAGGAACACCGAUGGCGAAGGCAGCCCCCUGGGCCAAUACUGACGCUCAUGCACGAAAGCGUGGGGAGCAAACAGG
rnacentral:rRNA from 1 species